rnacentral:rRNA from 1 species
GACGUAGGGCGCGAGCGUUGUCCGGAUUUAUUGGGCGUAAAGAGCUCGUAGGCGGCUUGUUGCGUCGGCUGUGAAAACCCGCGGCUUAACUGUGGCUUGCAGCUGAUACGGGCAGGCUAGAGUUCGGUAGGGGAGACUGGAAUUCCUGGUGUAGCGGUGAAAUGCGCAGAUAUCAGGAGGAACACCGGUGGCGAAGGCGGGUCUCUGGGCCGAUACUGACGCUGAGGAGCGAAAGCGUGGGGAGCGAACAGG